CUGCUGCUGCGGCUGCAGGUUGUUAUUUUCCAGGCGGCUGCUUCUCCUUUCCGCUCCUGCAAAUGCCACCGAAGGAAGCAGCCCGACGAGGUGGCGUGAAGGAGGAGGACAUCGAUCCGAGAGAGGAACAAAGAGAAUUACAAAUCGUUACACGCCGGGUUGCGGUGCAGGCGAGGACAUGGGGUGGCGUGUGGAUGACGAGAAGUUAAUUCCUCACCUUUCCUAAAACUGCCCUGCUGUAGGGACCGAGGGAGAGAAGCAAUCUGCACCCAACUAAUCGUUCUUAUUAGAAGAUCUAAUUAGAACCAAAAUUACCAAUGGGGAAAGAUAUGUCCAGUAAUUAGAAAAAUCCAUCGGGUUUUUAUUUUGUAAUCGCUACAGUAGUUUUUAAGAGUGUGGCUUUUUUAAAAACAGAGAAUGUAAAUUUAGGCAAAUUGUGCAUCUUUCAGUAAAAAGUACAGAAGUUAGUGAUAUGGUUUCCUAAAUUUGAAAUUCUGUUUUACUAGUAUCUUGUAAGCAAAACGAAUGCUUUGUAUUUCAGAAUUAAAAUACUUAAAAUAAUCAGUCUUUUAAA